AAAGAGAAGGAAAAGAAGAAAAAGAUGGAGAAGAAGAUGAUUACCUCCACCUUCAUCUUCCUCAUGCUUGGAGGAGCUUGAGAGGUAAGUUUCCUAUCACCUCUCAUGGUAGGAAUAGGGUUAGGGUUUGGUUUUUAAACCCUAAAACCUAGAGUUUUGAAGCUUCUAAUAUGUUUAGAACUUUGUAGAGACCUAGAACACAUGAAAUCCAAGUGUUCCUCAAAGUGCUCUAAUGGUGGAACCCUAGAGUUUGUUUUAAAUGCCCUAGGGAUGAUUCUAAUGAGAUGGAAGUAAGUUUAGAGAACUUCUUGGGUGAUUCUAAGCUCGAUUAUGUUUAGUUAUGAGAUCAAUCCCAAGAAAUUUGAUUAUGGCAUUGUUAAGGCACCGAAAUUGGGGCUUUUGCCUCCGGGUGUUUCUAAGGCAAAUUGGCCUUAUGGAAACCUAAUUGGGGACCUAACGAACGCGUUGAAACGCUCGGUUCGGCAAUCCGACGAGCGUACGCGAAGUUAUUGACGAAACGGUCGGUUUUGGUACAGAUAGCCGCAGCACGCGGAAUAAAGGUCUAAAAAUCAUGAGAUCGGAACUGGAGCACCUUGGAGUCAAGGAAUAAACUCCGGAAAAGACGGAUCGCGGUUCGGAGGUCGUUUGGAAGUCGCGCAAGAGUUCGGGCCAAACCGGGCAACGGUUGCCGCGGGAGGCCGAUUGCAAGUGACUACAAGCAAUCGGAGCGCGUGUUAAGGUGGGUUGGUUUACCGAAGCGACUAGGUCGCCUUUAUGUCUAAUUAUUAGACUUUCAUGUUGAUGCAUGUUGAUGAUCGGCAUAGUUGAUGCUAAGUAGAAAUGCAUAAUAUGAUGUAGAUGCUAAAGUUGAUGCAUAUAAAUGUAAAUGAUGCAUGUAGCUAAAUAAUGCAUGAUGAUAGUGUGAUGUAAUUGCUAAAUAGAAUGCAUUAUGAGCAUGUUGAAUAAAGCUAGAUAAUUAUGUGAAUGCAUGUAAGCAUAAUGCAUAGAAUGAAAUGCAUAUUGAUGAUAUAAGUUAAAAUGAGAUAUAGAAUGCAUGUUGACAUUGUGAGAUAAAUGUGCAUGAAACUAGGUUGAUAACCCUAGAAUGAUUAAAGUGAAUGAUGCUAUGCUAAAGUAUAAGUGAUAAGCAUGAUAUAAGAAUAGUAAAUGCAAGUGCAUGUUAAGAAUGCUAAGUAAGGAACAUAUAUAGGUGGACAUGAAUAAACCUAUAGAUCGAGUGGCAUUAAACCUAGUGUCGAGGACAUAGGUUAAAUAAAUGAGAUGUUGAACCUAAUGUAAAGAACAUAGGUUAAAUAAGAGGGAUGUUGAACCUAAUGUAAAGGACAUAGGUUGUGAAAUGAAAGCUGCUUAACCUAGAGUCAAGUAAACCUAGGUUGGAAAAGAAUGAUGAUCCUAGUGUAAUAAACCUAGGUUAAGAAUGUGAAAGCAAUAAACCUAAAGUAAUAACUUAGGUUGUGUAAAGGACAAUGAACCUAGAGUCGAUUGGACCUAGGAGAUAAAUGCUUAGACCUAGAGAGGUCAGUUCCAUAGGGUUAAGACCAACCCUUGGUUGAUGUGAUAUGGAUUCCGGAAUCCCGCUGCUUGCUGCUACACCCAAAGUGGUGUCGGGUGUGUGCGACGAUUUCGCCGCCCAGGGGCUAGAGAACCAUUGUCGUGGCGUGUGUGCGACGAUUUCGCCGCCGGAUGGUUAGCCAGUUUGUGGAUCCUACCGCCUGUUGACUGAACCACUGUCGUGGCGUGUGUGCGACGAUUUCGCCGCCGGGUGACUAAGUCAUUGAACCUAGGCCGUUGUUGGGUGAGGUGCGAUUCGUUCGCCGCCAGACGGCUAGGACAGGAGUACGGUGAGCUGUUGCCAGCUGAGGUGCAUGUGAGAGUUCCUUCACCUCGAGCUAGACAGUGCGCGGACUAUCCGCGAUUGAUUGACUCAAGACCGAGUCGGGUGGCUUUGUUGACUAAGGUAAAGUGACCUUAGAGUAGAAUGCCAAAGGCUAAGAGAUAGCAUGGUUCAAGAAUGUUAAGAGUAAAGAACAGCUAAACGAUAAUGAAUAGCUAAAGAGUAAAGAAUAGCUAAAGAACAAUGAAUAGAUAAUGAAAGGAAUAGCUAAGAGCUAAAAAUAAGCAUUAAAUGGCAAGGAGUAAAGAAUGAUUAAGAACAUAAGUAGUGUUAAAGUAACCUACUUGCAUGAUUACAGGUAUUGCAUAUUGCAUUUCGUGAGGCAUGACAUGUAUUUCAAUUGAAUAUAUAUCUGUUGUAUAUUGUUGAUCUAACAUGUUGUAGUGCCUCGUUAGACCUGUUGGCUGAGCUUGUUCUCUUGGGUGGCUAAACCCACUGAGGACUAUGGACAAUAGUCUCACCCCCGUGUUGCUGUUUUGGGGGUACAGGUAUACACGUGUGCGGCGCGGCGGCGGAAGGCGAGGACGUAGUUCUGCAGAUAGCGUCCUACCCAGAGACUGAGAUAGCAGUACCCGAGUUGGUGGUCUAGCUUUGGAGGUUUAAAAACAAAAAUAAACUUUUGUUUAAGUUGUAAAAGAAUCUGUAAUGAUUAUGAUUGCAUUUGGAGGUUAAUUGUAAAAGAAAAAUUAUGUUGUAAAAUGCAUCUAAGUUGAAUGCUGUAAUAACUUAGUAGUUAUGUUUUUGAUACUUCCUUAUGCAAUCUGUGAAUGAAUACUGUUCCUGUUUGGAACCUCUCGUAUUGUUUUGAUUGCGACGCCUUGGACGUACAGGGGAGACUCUGUCCGUUCGGCGGUCUGUCGGCGGCGCCGCGACCCGGCCAAAUUGGCGGGUGGUCGUGGGGCGUGACAGAUAAGAUGGUAUCAGAGCAUAAAGUAGAGAAUGGGAAUGGUUUAGGCAGACCUAGGAGACCCUAGGAUAGUGAAACCAUAGAGGUUAAGACUCGUGAGAGACGAGGAUUUGUGACUUGUGGCGAAAGAUAAUUAAUUGGGUCAAGUGUUGAAACCUCUAAGACGGAUAUUGGAGGUAGAUUCAAGGUGUUGUUGAUUCUCAACCGAGGGUGUUCAUGUUGGGUGCACACAACAUGAAGCCGAGCGAUGAGAAUAGACUCCCUUGCGUGACUUUCGCCCGAUUGGCUUUUGAGCCGGUGUUAAUGGUCUCGUGUUCGACUCAAGUUGGUCGGGAACUAAUCAAAUUGUCGUGUUUCAGGAAACGAUGGCACCGCGUAGGCGAUCUUCAUCCAGAUCGGCGCGGGAGGGGACAAGUGGUGAUCCCGAGCGAACCGACGCUAGCGGAGACUCAGAGCUUCGUGAUCAGUUGGCCACACUUAUAGGAGUGAUGAGGCAACAAGCUGAUGUAGUGCAGAGGCAACAGGAGGCUGCUAUGCGCCAGGAGGAACAAAUGAAAAGACUCCAGGAAACAGUGGAUCGGCUGGUGGCUGCGCCAGUUGCGGCUGGUCAAGGACAGCCGGGAGUUGCAGCGGGGGCAUUUCCGUCGGCUUUGGGUGAUCCAACUUCUAUUGGUUCAGAGGUGGUGGCGAAAAGGGAGCGAGCCUUGGCGGCUCUCAUGGCUUUCAAGAAGUUUGAUCCGCCUAUCUUUGAUGGAGAGGACACAGAUCCGUGGAUCGUGGAGAUGUGGACUGAUUCCAUGAAAACGCUCUUCGAGGAUUUGUACACGUUGGAGCGGGACAAGGUAAACCUAGCCGUGCACUACUUGAGACAGUCGGCGAAGGUGUGGUGGAAAGGCGUUAAGCGAGAUCGAUCGCCUAGUCUCCCUCCUAUGACUUGGGAAGAGUUUCGGGGAUUGGUGUUCUCAGCCCAUUUCCCCGACAAUGAAAAGCGAAAGCUUAAGGAAAGAUUCCAAAAGUUGCGGCAAGGAGAUCGCUCAGUUAGGCAAUACGAGCGGGAAUUCUCUCGUAUCGUGCAUUGUAUCCCAAACGUGGUGCGGGAUGACAAGGAUAAGGCCGACUGCUUUGUGCGUGGGCUUCGGCCGGAUCUUUACCAGGCUGUGCUCGUACUUAAGAUACAGACUUUUGCUGAGGUCUUGGAUCGGGCCUUGUGGAUAGAACAGGGCAACGCCUUUAUGCGGGAAGAGCGAGAGGCAUAUUACAAGGAAAAGGGGAAAGGACGACCAACAGGUGGAUCCAGUGGUCAGUCAAGUUCCCAACGGACUUCGACGAGUUCGCACUCGCGAUCCCGAGCUCCGGGGACAUACCGCAUUCGGUCCUCGGCGAAGUGUGCUAUUUGUGGAGGCCCUCAUUUUCCACAGCAAUGUGAACAGCGAGAGGGCAAGUGCUUCAAGUGUGGGCUGUCGGGCCAUAUGCGGGACGAGUGUCCGCGUGGUGAUGGCCGGGCCUUGGCACUGGCGACGGCCCAUUCCUCUCUGGGACAACCUGCAGGUGUGCCACCUGCGGUAUGGUCGGGAUAGCGGCCGUUUAGGACGAUGCAACCAGAGGGUUUGCGACGAACGCCAAGUGGGCAUGGAUAAGCGACCCGAAUUGCGGAGCCUGUCGCUGCUGACGUCAUCGUGGCAGGUAUGAGUUAAUUGAGAAAACAUGUGCUUUUACUAAUCUCAAGCUGGUGCAUAGCAUGCAUUUAUUGUUGGUCGGUUGCUACUAAUUAUAUAUUGCAUUUAUUGCAUAGUUGGGUAAGUAGACACCCGUACACACUUGCAUUGUGAGAAGUGGUACCUGCUGGUGCAAGUAGAAAGCCAAGUGGUGCUAGCUAAUGGCUAGUGAUGAUUCUCCGAUAAGCAAUGAGGCUCGUGGAGAACGUGGUCUAGUAAGUGACUCUCGAAAUAAUGGAUUGGAAAUUAUGGGAGUUGAGCCUGAUGUUGAGGGUACUCGAAAGACUCGGGAGUUGAGAAUGUGUUCCGGUAGAUCGGACAGUGAAAGUAGAAUCACAGUGGUGAGAGUAGCCGUGUAGUUGACGGACGCGGGCCUGUUGGCCUAGUAAUACCGCGAAGUUGAGGUGGACGAGUUGUGCUCAUGUAGUGGACGUGCAUAGGCAAGCUGCCUGAUGCUGGAUUUCAUGUUAGACGCUGUAGAGGCGUAGAGCGCUCGAGUAUAGUUACUCGUGAGGUGCGGUUUCGAUUCAGCCGGUUGAGUGAGUUGACAGUAGCACUUUAGCAAGGCUAAGUGUGAAGCGGGCCAUGGAUCACUCAUGGGGCUGGUGGCUCGCACAAGGUGCUUAGGAGCCGAUAGUGGUACUUGUAGCUCUGUAGAGCAUGUCGUGUAGGACGACGUUGGUGGGUAGUGCUUGGGGACGACCCGUGUUUGGACCACUUGUGGACUAUGGAGCCUGGUGGGCAGGCGCAGUCAGCUGUGAGAGACAGCGGCUCGGUACCUAUUGGUAGGGCGAGAGUUUUGAUCAGGACGGUAGUCCGAGCUUGGACCCGAGUGCGUGGAAUGUCACGUGUUAGAAUGCGAGAUUUGCAAUACACCGAGUGUGUUGUGACCCAACCCGAGGACUUGACGUGGUUUGGGGUCUUGAUAGCUCCUGGUUGGAGUGUGUGCGAGUUCUCCAAUGAGAAUGUCGCCCAAUGAUGAUUGGGUCUACGCUUGCGAGCGAGAGACGCUAAGCGUCGUUGAGACGAGUUUAGUCGGUAGGCCUACGUAGGAUUGGUGACCUUUGGUCCACCUGAGGAAAUCGAUGAUUGAUGUAACCAAGGACUCUGUAAGUGAGUUGGGCUCGGAUCCACGAACGGAGGUUCGUGUGACGUUGAUUGUGGCUCAUGACAUCAAGGGAUAAAGAGAAAGUUAAGUGGUCUCUAGGAGACACUGGAAUGAUGGAUAGCCACGUGCGGAUAUUGCUCUAAAAAAGGAUUGAGAUCUGAGAUGUGCGCGAGUGUGCCAUCUCGUGAUAGAGCAGGAAUUUGAUGGAGGUUGAAGCACUCGCGAUGGGCCGAUGCACCAAUGAUUUUGUCGUUAUGCAAUGCCGGUGGUCGGAAUCAAAGUGAAAAGGUGCGUUGGUUCCCUCAAUAACUCGAUAGAUCGAGUGGAGAUGUGGUUUGAAUUUCGCGGACGAAAUUCUUUUAAGGGGGGGAGAAUGUAACCCCCGAGAUCUCGGUGAAAUAUUGUGGACUUUAGCCAAAUUGACUAAAGUACUCGAAAGGAUUGGUUGGACGCGAUCCAUUAACAUCCCAACCAUGUUAGAAGGGUUAAAAAUGAGUUCUAAAAGAGUUAGAAAGGUUUUAGCGUUGUCCGGCGCGAAAUAGAGUCGAAAACAAGCUAAAAACCAAGUCUGGAGCAUUGUGUACCGGUACAAGUUGAUGGUUGUACCGGUACAACAAGCAACCCGAAGAAUGGCAACUCUCGGGUUUGAGUGAAAAAGGCUGUUAAACCGGUGACACGGGAAAGUGUACCGGUACACUUUGGCAGAAUGGCAAAGAUUUGGUUUGCUGCAAUUAUAAUUGAUUGGAGGGGUUUAUUUGUAAUUGUUACCUAAUGUAAUAGCCCUAAACCCCUCUCCCUCACAGCAGAUCUCUCUCCUGUCUCUCCCUCUCGUGUCUCUCCCUCUCUCUCUCAACCGGUUGCAAGAAAAAGAGAAGGAAAAAGAGAAGGAAAAGAAGAAAAAGAUGGAGAAGAAGAUGAUUACCUCCACCUUCAUCUUCCUCAUGCUUGGAGGAGCUUGAGAGGUAAGUUUCCUAUCACCUCUCAUGGUAGGAAUAGGGUUAGGGUUUGGUUUUUAAACCCUAAAACCUAGAGUUUUGAAGCUUCUAAUAUGUUUAGAACUUUGUAGAGACCUAGAACACAUGAAAUCCAAGUGUUCCUCAAAGUGCUCUAAUGGUGGAACCCUAGAGUUUGUUUUAAAUGCCCUAGGGAUGAUUCUAAUGAGAUGGAAGUAAGUUUAGAGAACUUCUUGGGUGAUUCUAAGCUCGAUUAUGUUUAGUUAUGAGAUCAAUCCCAAGAAAUUUG
rnacentral:lncRNA from 1 species